AACAAAAACAGUCUUAAGGUGGUACCUUACACUACAGGGAGAUAACUCUGUAAAGUCAGCUAAACGUUUGAAUUACGUUGUGUUAUAAAAGGAAUAUUAAGCUUCUCAAUGAUCAAAAUUGGUGUUUGUCAAACUGCUAUAUAACCAGUGUAAUUUUUCUGACAAAACAGUUGGUUCAAAAUUUUUGAAAUUUUUAUAUUUUCGUUAAAGGAUCAAA
rnacentral:lncRNA from 1 species